rfam:Culex pipiens quinquefasciatus supercont3.214 genomic scaffold, whole genome shotgun sequence.
GGCUCCGUGGCUUAAUGGUUACGGCUUCUGCCUCGAAAGCAGGAGGUUCAGGGAUCAUAUCCUGGUCGGUUCCC